rnacentral:misc_RNA from 1 species
AACGCACGAGACCUGCGGACCUGCGGAGGGAUCAUUACAGGACUCGCAAGACUCCUACAACCCUGUGAACUUAACUAUAAGCACGUUGCUUCGGCGGGUGUCUCGGCGAGGGUCCUCCCUCCCCGGGGCGCUAAGCCCGCCGGCAGCCUACUAUACUCUGUCUCUUUGCGUUGGCAUCUCGAGUACAAACAAACAAGUUAAAACUUUCAACAACGGAUCUCUAGAUCGGAAGAGCACACG